CAAAUACACAACAAAUACACAACACACACACACAGAAGAGGUUCUCCAUGGCGCUGGUAGGUCCAAACACACAACAAAUACACAACAAAUACACAACACACACACAGAAGAGGUUCUCCAUGGCGCUGGUAGGUCCAAACACACAACAAAUACACAACACACACACAGAAGAGGUUCUCCAUGGCGCUGGUAGGUCCAAACACACAACAAAUACACAACAAAUACACAACACACACACAGAAGAGGUUCUCCAUGGCGCUGGUAGGUCCAAACACACAACAAAUACACAACAAAUACACAACACACACACAGAAGAGGUUCUCCAUGGCGCUGGUAGGUCCAAACACACAACAAAUACACAACAAAUACACAACACACACACAGAAGAGGUUCUCCAUGGCGCUGGUAGGUCCAAACACACAACAAAUACACAACAAAUACACAACAAAUACACAACACACACACAGAAGAGGUUCUCCAUGGCGCUGGUAGGUCCAAACACACAACAAAUACACAACACACACACAGGAGAGGUUCUCCAUGGCGCUGGUAGGUCCAAACACACAACAAAUACACAACAGAUACACAACAGAUACACAACACACACACAGGAGAGGUUCUCCAUGGCGCUGGUAGGUCCAAACACACAACAAAUACACAACACACACACAGGAGAGGUUCUCCAUGGCGCUGGUAGGUCCAAACACACAACAAAUACACAACACACACACAGGAGAGGUUCUCCAUGGCGCUGGUAGGUCCAAACACACAACAAAUACACAACACACACACAGAAGAGGUUCUCCAUGGCGCUGGUAGGUACAAACACACAACAAAUACACAACACACACA